rnacentral:misc_RNA from 1 species
UUGAAUAAACUUGGUUGGGUUGUUGCUGGCUCUCCGGAGCAAUGUGCACGCCUAGCGCCAAUUAUUUAAACCACCUGUGCACCUUUUGUAGGCAACGGCGGCGCUUGCGCUUCGUAGUCUAUGUCUUUACAUAAACUCAAUGAAUGUAAUAGAAUGAAUUUUUAUUAUUAAAAAAAAUGUAAUA